GCGACCCCAGNUCAGGCGGGACUACCCGCUGA
rnacentral:rRNA from 2 species